UUUUUUCCACUUGCGUCUUUUUCAGGAAACAUUUACAGCUCAUGUGAUGUUCCAUGUUGGAUACGAAGGCAUCAAUUUGAAGUAAGAUGAGAGACAAAUCCUGGAAGGAAGUUUGAAGGCGUGUGGAAAAUCUUCAAGAUAAAUGAAGGUUCCACUAGAGAGGCGGAAUUUGACACAUAAUAUGUUUAGAGAGGCAAAUAUUGAAUGCGAGUACCUCCGUUAAAAGGGGAAUGUCACCCGAACAGUUCCUCAAAUCUACAUGUAAUGCUUCAUAUUCAUAGAGGUUUUUACUCGCAUGCUUUUGUUAGUUGCCAUUAAAAAAACGUAUAAAGACAACAUAAUUUUCCUUUCAAAAAUACGCAAUUUGCUUAUCAAAAACCUGCGUAUUAUAGCAUUUUAAAAAGUGUUUUAAAAAGACAUUGAAGGUAUAUGAAAACAUAGGCUGACAUGAUUGUUCUUAUACAGCGCACACUCAAAAACAUGAACCAAAGAUGAUGUAAAGCUUCAUUUUUCACGUUUUUUUUUCUCUAUUUCCUUUCCAUGCCCUCUUUACCCUCCAGCAAUAGAAGUAACUAAAGAAUUCUCUUUCUUUUUUCUCUCUUUCUUUGUCAACCCCAUCGUUACCAACUUCGCAACUGUUGCUAUUUUUCCGCGGGACUUUUCAGACUGAAAUAUCGGCAUCGGCCGACAUCGGAAUCGAUCCGCAGAUCGGCGCUCGGCCAGAAAUCUGCCAUCGGCGCACCGCAGCAAACAUGUGAAGAGCAUGCAAUGAAAAGAAACAAGCAUCAAUAAUUGUGCCACUGGUGAUUUUGUUAAGUAUAUAUAUAAAUAACUGUGUUAUCCCCCACUCCCACCGCUCCCACCAAAUAAAUAUUUGGACAUGUGUUUCAUGUGAAACCAAACUCAUAUUCAUGGACUAUGAGAGCCGCUUUAAUAAUGACCCGCCCUUAAGCCCUGAUAUAGAAUAAAUGCUAUCAGCACUAAAGGGCUAAUAAAUAUUGCAACAUAAAAUCCGUGCAAUGUUAAUGACAGACUGACAGCACGCCAUAAACACCUUAUCUUGUACGAGUUGCACUGUUAGUUGGUGGAAAGUUUGAAUUUUAUGGACGCUGGCUGCAGGAAGCUAGAUUAGACUAUGUAAAGCCUUCCAUCCUGGACUGACUCAACUGGGCGGUGGCCCCGCUCCAACACGAAGAGCGAGAGGAUCGGCGUUAACCAGCUGAAAUAAGAGGAUGUUUUUAUACUCACUUUUAUUGUGUUACUUUAAUUGAGUUUAUACAUAAUGAUUAUAAGAUGGGGAAACUAAGUGGCUUUCAAACUUUUUGCACCACGAGCCAAAAACGUAAGAGUGGCAUUCUUUUCUGUAUUUUUUUUGUUUUAGGCAGCUGCAUGUGUAAUUCCCGUGAAGCUGACCUAUUAUGCUUCCUCUACCAGAUUAGGAUAGGCCUAUAGGCAGUACAAACCAUUAUCAUUACAUUUUUUUUCUUUGCACAAAAUCCCUUAGAAAUCAAAUUUUAGUGUGUUAGGUUCUGUCUAUUCUGAGCUCCUUUCAAAAUGAGCUUUUAGGUUCUCUUGUCUCUUUAAAUCCAGCUGCUGAUGGCCACGCCCCCUGCACCCCACAACUCAAUGUUUACACUCCGACGUGAAAAUGGCUGCAAACAGAUCCGCAGUUAUAUAACCGGACAUCUUUGAAAAGCAGAAGCGGAACCAACAAGAAAGCAGGAAGUGGUUUCUGGAUGAAUUUCUACCGGGCCAAUCAGUGAACAGGAAGAGAAGUUGGGAACGACGACGUCAAUUUUCUGCGAUGUUUUACAAUCCUAAUGUGCCUGGAGUUUUAACAAUGGCAGCGGUGGAAGUGAACGAAUCCAUGUUGACCAAGCUUCCAAAUAUAAUUAAAGUUGACAACCAA